CUUUGGCAAAUACCUGAGCCAACUGAACCGCAGAAGGUAUUUUCUGAAGUGGAAUAAAGUGUGCCAUUUUAGAAAAUCUAUCAGUCACAGUCAAAAUUACUGUCAUUCCAUCGGAUGAAGGAAGAUCCACAAUAAAGUCCAUGGAUAAGUGGGUCCAUGGUUUCUUGGGUACGGAUAAAGGCAUUAGGAGUCCUGGGGGUUUGACAUUAGGGGACUUACACUGUGCACAAACACGACAAGCCUGCACAUAAUCCACCACGUCUUGCUUAAGUGAAGGCCACCAAAACUGUUGAAGGAGACCCUUGUAUGUUUUGGUGACCCCUGG